UUUAUGUAUAACCCAACAUCUUUUAGAACAUAGAAUGUUACCAGUUUGGCUUCACAGAACACAAAUUCCUGUUUAAAAAUUUUUCUAGCCAAGGAACAAAGUAAAUUUCAACAGCAUCUUAAACUAAUUUAGCUGGCCCUGAGUGUAUUAGUAAUUUGCAUGAUUUUGAAUUAAUGUAUAUAAUACACUUUCAUCUGUUAUCUACUUAUAUUUACUAGCAUACUACCAUUUUGUCUAUAUCCAUUCAUCUCAAUUUUCUACCUCAUUAAUCUUUGAGAGAAAGCACAAAGAAAGGGGAAGUAAUAAUAAGAGACUCAGAGGAGAAAACUACUGAUACGGGCUCAAUCUUUUCUACCCAGAAUCUGGGGCCCAGCUCUAGGUUACCCGAUAUACUUAGUAACAAGAUGCUAUUAAUGUGAGUAAUCUGAGUAACCUUCUGUCAAUUGAGGUUGAUGU
rnacentral:lncRNA from 1 species